rnacentral:rRNA from 1 species
AUUGAACGCUGGCGGCAUGCUUUACACAUGCAAGUCGAACGGUAACAGGCCGCAAGGUGCUGACGAGUGGCGAACGGGUGAGUAAUGCAUCGGAACGUGCCCAGUCGUGGGGGAUAACGCAGCGAAAGCUGUGCCAAUACCGCAUACGAUCUAUGGAUGAAAGCGGGGGACCGUAAGGCCUCGCGCGAUUGGAGCGGCCGAUGUCAGAUUAGGUAGUUGGUGGGGUAAAGGCCUACCAAGCCGACGAUCUGUAGCUGGUCUGAGAGGACGACCAGCCACACUGGGACUGAGACACGGCCCAGACUCCUACGGGAGGCAGCAGUGGGGAAUGUUGGACAAUGGGCGCAAGCCUGAUCCAGCAAUGCCGCGUGCAGGAAGAAGGCCUUCGGGUUGUAAACUGCUUUUGUACGGAACGAAACGGUCUGGGUUAAUACCCCGGGCUAAUGACGGUACCGUAAGAAUAAGCACCGGCUAACUACGUGCCAGCCGCCGCAGUAACAC